rnacentral:rRNA from 1 species
GUGAAGAGAGCUUGCUCUCUGGAUCAGUGGCGAACGGGUGAGUAACACGUGAGCAAUCUGCCCCUGACUCUGGGAUAACAGUUGGAAACAGCUGCUAAUACCGGAUACGAGACGUGAAGGCAUCUUCAACGUCUGGAAAGAACUUCGGUCAGGGAUGAGCUCGCGGCCUAUCAGCUAGUUGGUGAGGUAAUGGCUCACCAAGGCGUCGACGGGUAGCCGGCCUGAGAGGGUGACCGGCCACACUGGGACUGAGACACGGCCCAGACUCCUACGGGAGGCAGCAGUGGGGAAUAUUGCACAAUGGGCGCAAGCCUGAUGCAGCAACGCCGCGUGAGGGACGACGGCCUUCGGGUUGUAAACCUCUUUUAGCAAGGAAGAAGCGAAAGUGACGGUACUUGCAGAAAAAGCACCGGCUAACUACGUGCCAGCAGCCGCGGUAAUACGUAGGGUGCAAGCGUUAUCCGGAAUUAUUGGGCGUAAAGAGCUCGUAGGCGGUUUGUCGCGUCUGCUGUGAAAACUGGGGGCUCAACCCCCAGCCUGCAGUGGGUACGGGCAGACUAGAGUGCGGUAGGGGAGAUUGGAAUUCCUGGUGUAGCGGUGGAAUGCGCAGAUAUCAGGAGGAACACCGAUGGCGAAGGCAGAUCUCUGGG